rnacentral:rRNA from 1 species
GACGAACGCUGGCGGCGUGCUUAACACAUGCAAGUCGAACGGACAGGCCCUGCUUUUGUGGGGUGCUCGUGUGGCGAACAGGUGAGUAACACGUGAGUAACCUGCCCUUGACUUUGUGGUAACUUCUGGAAACUGGGGCUCAUACCGGAUAGGAUCUCCUGCUGCAUGGUGGUGGUUGGAAAGUGUCGGCGUUUGGGGAUGGACUCGCGGCUUAUCCGCUUGUUGGUCGGGUAGUGGCUUACCAAGGCUUUGACGGGUAGCCGGCAUGAGAGGUUGACCGGCGACAUGAGGACUGAGAUACGGCGCAGACGGCAAUGGGAGGCAGCAGUGGGGAAUAUUGCACAACGGGGGGACGCCUGAGACAGCAACGCCGCGUGCGGGAUAAUGGCCUUCGAGUUGUAAACCGCUUUCGCCUGUGACGAAGAGUGAGUGACGGUAAUGGGUAAAGAAGCAACGGCUAACUACGUG